rnacentral:rRNA from 1 species
GACGAACGCUGGCGGCGUGCUUAACACAUGCAAGUCGAACGGAAAGGCCCUGCUUUUGUGGGGUGCUCGAGUGGCGAACGGGUGGGUAACACGUGAGUAACCUGCCCUUGACUUUAGGAUAACUUCAGGAAACUGGGGCUAAUACCGGAUAGGAGCUCCUGCUGCAUGGUGGGGGUUGGAAAGUUUCGGCGGUUGGGGAUGGUCUCGCGGCUUAUCAGCUUGUUGGUGGGGUAGUGGCUUACCAAGGCUUUGACGGGUAGCCGGCCUGAGAGGGUGACCGGCCACAUUGGGACUGAGAUACGGCCCAGACUCCUACGGGAGGCAGCAGUGGGGAAUAUUGCACAAUGGGCGGAAGCCUGAUGCAGCAACGCCGCGUGCGGGAUGACGGCCUUCGGGUUGUAAACCGCUUUCGCCUGUGACGAAGCGUGAGCGACGGUAAUGGGUAAAGAAGCACCGGCUAACUACGUG